ACGUGUGAGAGCAGGGAUUGCAGUCUAACUGUUAACUAGAAAGGAUGAACAUCAUACACACGAA
rnacentral:tRNA from 1 species